rnacentral:rRNA from 1 species
CUGGUUGAUCCUGCCGGCGGCCACCGCUAUUGGAAUUCGAUUAAGGCAUGCGAGUCGAGAGGUGCAAGACCUCGGCAGACGGCUGAGUAACACGCGGGUAACCUGCCCUGGAGUGGGGGAUAAUCUCGGGAAACUGAGGAUAAUACCCCAUAGGUGUGGUGUGCUGGAAUGCUUCCACGCUGAAAACUCCGGGGCUCCAGGAUGGGCCUGCGGCCUAUCAGGCUGUAGUGGGUGUAACGGACCCACUAACCUACGACGGGUAGGGGCGUUGAGAGACGGAGCCCCCAGAUGGAUUCUGAGACACGAAUCCAGGGCCUACGGGGCGCAGCAGCUACGAAAACUGCACAAUGUGGGAAACCACGAUGCGGGUAUUCCGAGUGACAACNCAUUGCGUUGUCUGUUCUUUCGCCUAAAAAGCGAGAGAAGUAAGGGGCCGGGUAAGACGGGUGGCANGCCGCCGCGGUAAUACCCGCGGCCCGAGUGGUGCUCAUUAUUAUUGAGCUUANAGCGUUCGUAGCCGGCCUCGUANAGUCUUGGGUAAAUCGGGCAGCUCAACUGUUCNAAUUCCNAGGAGACUGCNAGGCUCGGNNAACGGANGAGUCAGAGGUACUUCNCGGGGGGUAGGGGGUAAAUCCUGGUAAUCCUCCAAGGGACAGCCAGGGGCCAAAGGGUCUGGACUAAAACGGAUCCCGACGGGUGAG